UGUCGGCGGUCGGUGCCUGGAGAAAGAGCAGGGCGGUUUUUACUGACAACCCUCCUGGAAGGAGAAACCAGCGAGGCCGAGAGGAGGAAGAAAAACACCCACUGCACUGUGGUGGACUCCCCGGGCCUGGAAACGUGAAGCAGCGAGCGGACACCGAGCUCCCGGUACCGGCUGAGGUAGCUAACAUUAGCCCGGACAGGCGCAGUCAGAGCCCGGGCUCCGUGUCAACAUGAGCUCGCUGGUCCACCGCCAGCCGCACUCGUCCCCAAUCACACAGAAAGUGCAGCUAACUUACAAACUGUUUUUGCUGGAAAAUGCCCGGAAUAUACUUGAAGAGGAACUGCGAAGGUUCACCAACAAGGCCCAUGAAGAAGUCCAGGGUUUCUUGAAUUCCUCUUUUCCCACCACUGUUUUCAGUGAUCUUGCUAUGGCUUUGGAUAUGAAAUGUCAAGCUGUUCACAAGCUCACGGCUUUAUUAAAGGAUGUCACCACUGAGCCACAGGUUUGUGUGCAGUCUAGUGUCAGUAACGAAGAGCGGCGAUACCAACUGCAGCCACUCAGAGACAAACAAACGCUGAUGAGAGAUGCUUUCAAGUUUGGGCCGAUGUUACAGAACAUGCUCAUGGCGAGUUCCAUAGGCAAAGCGGUCCAGGUGCUUGCAGGCACAAUGUCCGUUCAGCAGUUAAAACAUUUCCUCAUCUCCCCGCCUGCAGUGGCCCAGGAGGAUGAUGCGAUUUGCAGCAUGUCAUCCAGCUACAACUGUGCAGUUCAGACUAGGAGCUUGUCAUGUCAUUUAAAGGCUGAAGAAAAAGAACAACCUGUUAUUUUUGAGAAGAAACGCCAGCCAGAUGAUGUGAUUCUGGCACCUACCAUUAUUCAGUGUCCUGAGAUUAAUGCUUCGAGGCCACUACUACCUCCCAUACAGGAUAUACUCCCAGAGAUCAGUAAUUCUAAACCCAUGAAAAUAACACCACUAAUUAGCUGGGGAUGGGAGGAUGAUAUCCAAGUGCAACACCCAAAACAAACAUCCUCUGAGCUGCUGCACUUCCUCAAAGUCAGUGCUAAAAAGAUGAGUGCUCUGGAGGUCACGCCCAUGGAGUGGAGUCCAAGUAAAGACAGACACACAGGUUCUCCACAGUCAUCGUCACCUACAGUCAAAGCAGAAAGCUCUCAUUUCAGUCACAAUGUGAGAGAUGAUCUGAUCAAGGAACUAUCUCAGAAAACACUGUGUGCAGACGGGGAAAAUGAAGGCCAAGUCUUCAGAGUAAAGCAAGUGGAACCAAGUGGCUCUGUGAUAUACACUUAUGUGAUUGCGACAAAGACUGAAUUGUGGGAUGUUGUAGACAUCGUAACACAGGUAGGACAGGAGGAUUCUGGUGAUAGACCCUUGGAGGAAAAAGAGGAUUGUAGAAACAUAACAGCUCAGGUGGGCAAUAUCCCCUGCACAGAACCAGAAAAAGAGAACAAUUCUACUGGCGUAAAAACACCAGCUAUCAACAAGAUAGCUAUUCCUGAUUUCCACAUCCGGAGGUUUGAAGAGAUUGAGGUUGUGGUGUCUCAUGUUGUCAGCCCAAGCUACUUCUACAUACAGCACACCGACUCCAUCACAAAGCUGCAGGGCCUUGUCACAGACAGCUGGAAAGCCAGUAGUUCAUAUGCCUUGCAGAACUGCAUUCCAGACAUUGGAACCCAAGUAAUGGGUUGGUUCCCGAUGCAAAAACAAUGGUGCAGGGCUCAAGUGACGAAAAUAUGUGGAGUAAGUAGAGAUGAUGUUGGGUGUGAGUCAUCCAUCAAGGUGGAGGUGAAGAGGUUGGAUUACGGUGACACUGCCAUCCUGUCACUGUUGAACACAAAGCAGCUGACCUCAGACAUGGCUGCCCUGUCACUUCAAGCUCUCCAGGUCUCACUGGCAAAUGUGACGCCUGUGAACGGAAGUGAUUGGUCUGAGGAGGCAAUAGGCUGGUUCAAAGCAAUGGUAGACAGCAGGACGUUUUAUGCCCGACUUUACCCGCAGGGGCCCAAAGUUACAGUUGAGCUGUUCUUGGAAAAGGGAAAGCUUGGCGCUAUGAGGUACUUAAGUGUGAAUAACAUUAAUUGUGAAUUGCACUGUUAGUAUUAACAGACUCGUAAAUGGCAAAAUCAGAUGAAGUCAUCAAGAUUU
rnacentral:lncRNA from 1 species